rfam:Canis lupus familiaris chromosome 8, whole genome shotgun sequence.
AGCUUUGUGCAGUGGUAGUAUCAUAACCAAUGAGGUUUACCUGAGGCAUGAUUAUUGCUAAUUAAAACAUAUCACUAGACAAUUUACAAAUUAAAUAAUUAUGUAUGUUGUUUCAUUUAUGUAUUAUUGUGUAAC